rnacentral:rRNA from 1 species
CACGUAUUUAGCCGGGGCUUCUUGGUCAGGUACCGUCAUUCUCUUCCCUGCUGACAGAGCUUUACAUACCGAAGUACUCCAUCGCUCACGCGGCGUCGCUGCAUCAGGGUUGCCCCCAUUGUGCAAUAUCCCCCACUGCUGCCUCCCGUAGGAGUCUGGGCCGUGUCUCAGUCCCAAUGUGGCCGUCCACCCUCUCAGGCCGGCUACUGAUCGUCGCCUUGGUGGGCCGUUACCCCGCCAACAAGCUAAUCAGACGCGGACCCAUCCCGCACCGCAUGCGCUUUCCGCGCGGCCCCAUGCGGGGCCGUGCGCAUAUGCGGUAUUAGCAGCCGUUUCCGGCUGUUGUCCCCCAGUGCGGGGUAGGUUGUCCACGCGUUACUCACCCGUCCGCCACUCAGUCAGGGGGGCUUCCCCUCGGAGAGAUUUCCCGCCCCCUGCUUCGUUCGACUUGCAUGUGUUAGGCACGCCGCCAGCGUUCAUCUCGAGCCGAGGACGUCAAACUCUCCG